rnacentral:SRP_RNA from 1 species
GCCGGGCUAGGUGGCGGGGGCCUGUAGUCCCAGCUACUCGGGAGGCUGAGGCAGGAGAAUGGCGUGAACCCGGGAGGCGGAGCUUGCAGUGAGCUGAGAUCCGGCCACUGCACUCCAGCCUGGGCAACAGGGCANNNNNNNNNNUGCCCUGUUGCCCAGGCUGGAGUGCAGUGGCCGGAUCUCAGCUCACUGCAAGCUCCGCCUCCCGGGUUCACGCCAUUCUCCUGCCUCAG